ACAUUGGUGGUUCAAUGGGAGAAUUUUUGCCUUCCGUGCCGGGGAGCUGAGUUCGACUCCCGGCCAAUGUA
rnacentral:tRNA from 1 species